rnacentral:rRNA from 1 species
ACACAUACAUCCGCCCGGGUACUACGAGCACAGCUUAAAACCCAAAGGACUUGGCGGUGUCUCAGACCCACCUAGAGGAGCCUGUUCUAGAACCGAUACCCCCCGUUAAACCUCAUCACUUCUUGUUUCUCCCGCCUAUAUACCGCCGUCGUCAGCUUACCCUGUGAAGGCUUAAUAGUAAGCAAAAUGGGCCCACCCAAAAACGUCAGGUCGAGGUGUAGCGUACGAAGUGGAAAGAAAUGGGCUACAUUUUCUACAUAUAGAAUAUUACGAACCGCACCUUGAAACCAGGUGCCAGAAGGUGGAUUUAGUAGUAAAAAGCAAAUAGAGUGUACCUUUGAACUAGGCUCUGAGACGCGCACACACCGCCCGUCACUCUCCCCUCUUAUCUUCUUAACCAAUCCAUAAUAAAUCAACUAUAAACACGGGGAGGCAAGUCGUAACAUGGUAAGUGUACCGGAAGGUGCACUUGGAAUAAC